UACUGAGGAAAGUAGACUCUCAGAAC
rnacentral:piRNA from 1 species